AACGAACGCUGGCGGCAUGCCUAACACAUGCAAGUCGAACGAGACCUUCGGGUCUAGUGGCGCACGGGUGCGUAACGCGUGGGAAUCUGCCCUUGGGUGCGGAAUAACAGUUAGAAAUGACUGCUAAUACCGCAUAAUGACUCCGGUCCAAAGAUUUAUCGCCCAAGGAUGAGCCCGCGUCGGAUUAGCUUGUUGGUGAGGUAAAAGCUCACCAAGGCGACGAUCCGUAGCUGGUCUGAGAGGAUGAUCAGCCACACUGGGACUGAGACACGGCCCAGACUCCUACGGGAGGCAGCAGUGGGGAAUAUUGGACAAUGGGCGAAAGCCUGAUCCAGCAAUGCCGCGUGAGUGAUGAAGGCCUUAGGGUUGUAAAGCUCUUUUACCCGGGAUGAUAAUGACAGUACCGGGAGAAUAAGCCCCGGCUAACUCCGUGCCAGCCGCCGCCGUAA
rnacentral:rRNA from 1 species